GAUGAACGCUGGCGGCGUGCCUAAUACAUGCAAGUCGAGCGAACAGACGAGGAGCUUGCUCCUCUGACGUUAGCGGCGGACGGGUGAGUAACACGUGGAUAACCUACCUAUAAGACUGGGAUAACUUCGGGAAGCCGGAGCUAAUACCGGAUAAUAUAUUGAACCGCAUGGUUCAAUAGUGAAAGACGGUUUUGCUGUUACUUAUAGAUGGAUCCGCGCCGCAUUAGCUAGUUGGUAAGGUAACGGCUUACCAAGGCGACGAUGCGUAGCCGACCUGAGAGGGUGAUCGGCCACACUGGAACUGAGACACGGUCCAGACUCCUACGGGAGGCAGCAGUAGGGAAUCUUCCGCAAUGGGCGAAAGCCUGACGGAGCAACGCCGCGUGAGUGAUGAAGGUCUUCGGAUCGUAAAACUCUGUUAUUAGGGAAGAACAAAUGUGUAAGUAACUAUGCACGUCUUGACGGUACCUAAUCAGAAAGCCACGGCUAACUACGUG
rnacentral:rRNA from 1 species